GCGUAAAGUGCACUGACCGGCAGCAGCUGCGCACGGAUCUGCUCAGAAAACGCACAACGCGUGUGUUUGCGUCGGACCAGUCGGGGGCCUCGCUGUGGGUCGUGGCACCAAGGAGUGUUUGUACCGGACCGGGAGGACGAAAUGAGAAUGAACCACAAAGCAGACAUUCUAGGCCUCGUCGUGUCGAUGGCCCAAUGUGAAAUCCCCCCCUGAGGUGGUGACCCGGUCCUUCCCCUCACAGCUUAAGCAGCGCGGGGGUCAAAGGUCAUUCCUGCCGGUGAGCGUGCUGGAGGAGCUUAACAAGGGAGAGGUCUUUAUGUGAGGGGGAUCAUGUGCGUCCGAGCAGCAGCAGCUAACGGAAUGAAAACGAGAGGCCACCGAUCCCCAGCAGGGGGCAGAAGAGCUCCUCCUUUGGGCCGUAAGGCCCGAGCCUUCACUUCCACCUCCCCCCCCCCGCCUGUUUUUCAAUGUCACAGUUUCAAUUACCGACGACCUUUUUGGUUUUCUCCUUUGGCCCGGCGCGGCACGCAUUCGCGUCACGCAGCGCGCGAUUCCCGCGGAAUUCCUAAAGCGUCCCGGUAAACACAUCUGACCUCGGCUCGGACGCACGCCACGGAACGACGCGCACCGACAGGCUGUGUGGAAGCACCGAGAGAAAGGAAAGAAACCAAAGGCUGUCAGGGACUUAAAAGGUCGUCCACGGCUUCCUGCGAACAGAAGCCCCCGUGUUUACGUCUAUAAUUUAGUGUUUGAAGCGGCGUUUGUGGGGGUCUCUGUGAGGGAGAAGGGUUUAGAGGCUGAAUGUUGCAGCGCGGCGUCCUCGGGGGGCUCCUUAUCUCGGCCUCCGAGGCUCGCCUUGCUUCUGCCCGUGUUCCACUCGGAUUUUAAAACGCUACGUCUUAAGCCGCGUGUCGAGACCGGGGGAAAAAAAAUAAAGAAAGUGUGAUUAAUCCCUCUACUUACAGUCAACAACCACAAAACACAAGGGCUUAUGGGUAAAUCCAAAGUGAAGUCUCGGCGGAACGUUUGUGGUUUUUGUUUCACAUGUUUUACUUUCAGACUAGAUAAGAGAGAACAUCCAAAAUAAACAUUACGGUGUUUUUGACACUCUAGAGAAGGAGAAUCGUCUCAAAGUGAGCAAGCAGCUCAUUGAUCGGAGGUUAUUUACAUGUUAUUGAAAUGCGGUUCGGUGUAUUGGCUGGUAUGAAAACAGAUGAGGGAUCUUAGGUAGUGAAGAAAAUGCACUCAAUGGAACAUAAAAAAGUGACACACACGUUCAUGAAUCAUAUUAACAUCCUACAGUCUGCAGACUCAGAAUGAGGUGACAUAGAUAUAAAUACGUUUUAAUGAGCCGGAGUCCCGAGGCAACAGAGACCUUUUUUUAUUUUUAUUUGUGGACGAGCCUGCCGGACUAUAAAAAAAAAGGUAUAAUAUAUAUUCUGGUUGAAUAAAAAAAAUAUCAGCUGUGAUGAAAACAUCCUAAAUGAGAAGCAAAUAAUCGAUCAUAAAAGUUUACGCAUACUGCUCUCUAGUGGCGACAGUGUUCGUUAGGAGCUUCAAUAUUCACACUCACAAUCUUUUGGAGCUGUUCAGAUUAUGUUCUCAGCUGGUUCAUCCUCUGGGGAUCCUGAUUAUCAAGCACAGUAACCUCCGCCACUGUAUUAUAAAAUAAAUAUUUUGUACGGC
ensembl:lncRNA